rnacentral:rRNA from 1 species
GACGAACGCUGGCGGCGUGCCUAACACAUGCAAGUCGAACGGAGUUGAAAAGCUUGCUUUUCAACUUAGUGGCGGACGGGUGAGUAACACGUGAGCAACCUGCCUUACAGAGGGGGACAACAGUUGGAAACGACUGCUAAUACCGCAUAAUGUUUUCGGACCGCAUGAUCUGAAAACCAAAGAUUUAUUGCUGAGAGAUGGCCUCGCGUCUGAUUAGCUAGUUGGUGGGGUAAACGGCCCACCAAGGCGACGAUCAGUAGCCGGUCUGAGAGGAUGAACGGCCACAUUGGGACUGAGAUACGGCCCAGACUCCUACGGGAGGCAGCAGUGGGGAAUAUUGGGCAAUGGGGGAAACCCUGACCCAGCAACGCCGCGUUGAAGGAAGAAA